GAUGAACGCUGGCGGCGUGCCUAAUACAUGCAAGUCGAGCGAAUGGAUUGAGAGCUUGCUCUCAAGAAGUUAGCGGCGGACGGGUGAGUAACACGUGGGUAACCUGCCCAUAAGACUGGGAUAACUCCGGGAAACCGGGGCUAAUACCGGAUAACAUUUUGAACUGCAUGGUUCGAAAUUGAAAGGCGGCUUCGGCUGUCACUUAUGGAUGGACCCGCGUCGCCUUAGCUAGUUGGUGAGGUAACGGCUCACCAAGGCAACGAUGCGUAGCCGACCUGAGAGGGUGAUCGGCCACACUGGGACUGAGACACGGCCCAGACUCCUACGGGAGGAAGCAGUAGGGAAUCUUCCGCGAUGGACGAAAGUCUGACGGAGCAACGCCGCGUGAGUGAUGAAGGCUUUCGGGUCGUAAAACUCUGUUGUUAGGGAAGAACAAGUGCUAGUUGAAUAAGCUGGCACCUUGACGGUACCUAACCAGAAAGCCACGGCUAACUACGUGCCAGCCGCCGCAGUAACAC
rnacentral:rRNA from 1 species